rnacentral:lncRNA from 1 species
ACAAUAAAGAGUACGAAUAGUAGUUCAUUUUUGCAAUUGGAGCAAAAAGGUCUCUUCAUAAUCCCAUUACCAUACUGUUGGGAAAAACCUUUGCACCAAACGAGCCUAUGUAUCGCCUCAAUUAGAAACCAUAGCCUUGGUUUUGAUUUUGUAGACCCACCGAAAAAACCAAUUUUACUCUUACCAGAUGGUGGUAAAGGUACCAAAUCCCAAGUACCAGUGUUAUGCAAAGCCGAAAGUUCCUCAAGUCAGAGACUGCUAUCAAAGAGAUCAAGAACAGACUCUUUAUACGAUAGAGGCAUCAGAAAAGAUUGUGAAUAGUGCGCUAAAAAAGAAGCAAAAGAAUAGAAUAAACAAGAAUAAGAAAAAAUCUGGAAAUUAGUAGACUUCGAAUCGCUUAGGAUAGCGAGGGAGAGGAUCCACAAUCUCAUAAGUUAUUGGGUAGGAAAAGGGUGAGGAGGAUCCACAAUCUCAGAUGUUGCUGGUGUAGGGUAGCGGUGCGCAGAUGUGUCGGAGCAUCAGAUGCGGGAAAUACAAUGUCUGUUUAGGGGAUGGAGGAUGGGUUUGAACACCUGUAUUUGAUUCUCAGAAAAGGUCAAGGAAUGAGAGCAGAUUAGUCAAUUAUGAGUACUAUCAGGGAAUAAGAGAAAGGUUAUGCUCAAGGAACACAAACAUGACGGGCCUAUAUAAUUUAUGAGUAACAGGAUCAAAACAAACGAUAUCCUUUUGGACCCUCACCGAUAUCCAAGAAAAAAAACACAAAGUGCGAACGGGAAGGACAACCUACUACUUCUACUACGAUGAACGAAGACAAACAAGCGCAACCAAAAAACUCUUAAAGAAGGAAUAAUUUGUGAGGACGACCAUGCAAUUUUUUAAAAGGAGACAUGCUGGAAAUUAUGAGAGAUGGGAUCAUAUUAAGAACCCGAGCAGCAGUGAGAUGAUAAAUGCCUCGUCAUAAAGAGAAAGUACUAGGAACCCAAGCAGACAAUAAGAGGACAAGGUAGUUUUUAAUAAUAUGCCUAUGUUUUCAUUUCAGCCACACCAUUUGCUCUGGAAAAAAAGGGUAUCAGUCCAAGAGGAUGAUGACUAGUUCCAUAUAAAAACAUAGCCAAUUUAUUCUUUUUGUCAGAAAAUUCAUUAGAAGUAUUUCACCACCCAACCCAAAUCACACCAAAAACAUUGAUAACAGCAGAAUGUUGUGUUUUCACGAGAGCACGAAAGGAUUUAUAAAAUACCCAAAAAUUCAGACGAUUUUCAUAAGAGAAAACCCAACAAUAACGAGUGUAAUCAUCAAUAAAAAGAAAAAUCAUAAUAGGAUGAGAUCCGCCUUGGUGCAAUAGGGACAACGUCUCCCCACACAUCAGAAGAAUAAAUCAAAAGGUUGCUUCAGAGAAUAAGAGAUACUGUUCUAUUAAAAGGUAGGGCGAAAGGAAAUUUUGUAGGUUCAACCAAUUUGCAAGUGAGAAAUAUCAUGUGCUGACAAAUUCCUAAGGCUCCGGUAGAGGCUAAAUACUUUAAACGAGAAGACGAGACAGGACCUAGACGAAAAAUGCCCUAAAUAAAAAACUAGAAGAAAGAAGGACUCAACGAAAAAAAGAUGACAAAUCGACACCAGUAGCAGCACUGCAGGUACACUCAGUGGUCCAAGAUAAUAAUCAUCCUUGUCUAUGGCAGUCCCAAUCAGCUUCGGGUUUGCGAUCUGCACCUGACAAGAGUGGAAGAAAAAGAAAAAAGAACCCAAAUAACCAGAGUUACACAAUUGACUAAAGAAGAAACCAAGAUUUAAGGAAAAGACUAGGAAUGUGAUUACACGUUAUAGAAAGAGAGAGAUUAGUAUUGCAAUUACAGGACCCAACACCGCUAAUGGCCAUGGUUCACAGCAGUCAUGACAGAUACAGGUAAUGCAGGAGGACAAUGAAGUAAAACAGACGGAGUCUGGGUGACAUGUGAUGAGAGGGCAGCGUCUAAAAUCCCACAAAGACGAAAACAUAAAUGAGGAACUAGGAGAAGAAAAGACAAACCGAGAAAGAGGAGUGAGGCAGACAUAGAGAUGGUGAGUGUUGAAAGAAUUGCUGAAACUGCUCAGCAAGAGCAGCAUUGUAGGAUGAAAACGGUGGAGCUACAAAAACAGAUAAAAGGUUAAUGGUGGGGACAGUUGAUUUGCAGUAUUAGACUGGGGGAUGGCCUGAUGCUAGUUGUGGGGGACUAGUUGCCGAACUCCUUUGUUGAGACGAAUUUGAGCGCGAUUUUUGUUAAGUAACAUGGGCAUUGGAUCUUACAGUGACCUUGCGAUACAAAAAAACUGUUUCAUCAAUCCAACCUUGGCCUUGAUGGGGUGUGUUGGGUUUAUACUAGAAGGUGGUCGAUUAGUUUGGGUACUACAAAGCACAGAUGGGAUUUUCGGUUGCUGGCAGAAUGCCCUUAUUGGAUGACUGAGACUAAGCCGAAUUCCUUUGUAAAAGCUCACUGCCCACUAAAUCUAACCGAAGGAAGUGGG